rnacentral:tRNA from 1 species
GGGUGUUUGGUCUAGUGGUAUGAUCCGCGCUUCGGGUGCGUGGGUCUCCGGUUCGAUUCCGGAAACACCCC